GAGUUUGAUCAUGGCUCAGAACGUACGCUGGCGGCACGCCUAACACAUGCAAGUCGAACGAAGUAGCAAUACUUAGUGGCAGACGGGUGAGUAACAUGUGGGUAUCUACCCUUUGGCCUGGAAUAACACGAGGAAACUUGUGCUAAUACCGGAUAAGUCUUUACGGAGAAAGCUUUAUGCACCAUUGGAUGAGCCCGCACUUGAUUAGUUUGUUGGUAGGGUAAUGGCCUACCAAGACUAUGAUCAAUAGCUGAUUUGAGAGGAUGAUCAGCCACAUUGGGACUGAGACACGGCCCAAACUCCUACGGGAGGCAGCAGUGGGGAAUCUUGCACAAUGGAGGAAACUCUGAUGCAGCGAUGCCGCGUGAGUGAAGAAGGCCUUUGGGUUGUAAAGCUCUUUCGUCGGGGAAGAAAAUGACUGUACCCGAAUAAGAAGGUCCGGCUAACUUCGUGCCAGCAGCCGCGGUAAUACGAAGGGACCUAGCGUAGUUCGGAAUUACUGGGCUUAAAGAGUUCGUAGGUGGUUGAAAAAGUUGGUGGUGAAAUCCCAGAGCUUAACUCUGGAACUGCCAUCAAAACUUUUCAGCUAGAGUAUGAUAGAGGAAAGCAGAAUUUCUAGUGUAGAGGUGAAAUUCGUAGAUAUUAGAAAGAAUACCAAUUGCGAAGGCAGCUUUCUGGAUCAUUACUGACACUGAGGAACGAAAGCAUGGGUAGCGAAGAGGAUUAGAUACCCUCGUAGUCCAUGCCGUAAACGAUGUGUGUUAGACGUUGGAAAUUUAUUUUCAGUGUCGCAGGGAAACCGAUAAACACACCGCCUGGGGAGUACGACCGCAAGGUUAAAACUCAAAUGAAUUGACGGGGACCCGCACAAGUAGUGGAGCAUGUGGUUUAAUUCGAAGAUACGCGCAGAACCUUACCAACACUUGACAUGUUCGUCGCGACUCUAAGAGAUUAGAGUUUUCGGUUCGGCCGGACGAAACACAGGUGCUGCAUGGCUGUCGUCAGCUCGUGUCGUGAGAUGUUCGGUUAAGUCCGGCAACGAGCGCAACCCACAUCUUUAGUUGCCAGCAGGUUAAGCUGGGCACUCUAGAGAAACUGCCCGUGAUAAGCGGGAGGAAGGUGUGGAUGACGUCAAGUCCUCAUGGCCCUUACGGGUUGGGCUACACACGUGCUACAAUGGCAGUGACAAUGGGUUAAUCCCCAAAAGCUGUCUCAGUUCGGAUUGGGGUCUGCAACUCGACCCCAUGAAGUCGGAAUCGCUAGUAAUCGCGUAACAGCAUGACGCGGUGAAUACGUUCCCGGGCCUUGUACACACCGCCCGUCACACCAUGGGAGUUGGUUCUACCCGACGACGCUGCGCUAACCCUUCGGGGGGGCAGGCGGCCACGGUAGGAUCAGCGACUGGGGUGAAGUCGUAACAAGGUAACC
rnacentral:rRNA from 1 species